GAUGAAGAACGCAGCGAAAUGCGAUACGUAAUGUGAAUUGCAGAAUUCAGUGAAUCAUCGAAUCUUUGAACGCACCUUGCGCCCUUUGGCCAUUCCGAAGGGCAUGCCUGUUUGAGUAUCAUGAACACCUCAACUCUUCAUGGUUUUCCGUGAUGAGCUUGGACUUUGGGGGUCUUGCUGGCCUAUGGUCAGCUCCUCUAAAAUAAAUCAGCUUGCCAGUGUUUGGUGGGUAUCACAGGUGUGAUAACUAUCUACGCUUGUGGUUUUCCACCAGGUAACCUUCAGCAGUGGAGGUUCGCUGGAGCUCACAGAUGUGUCUCUCCUCAGUGAGGACAGCUCUUUGAAUGUUUGAUCUCAAAUCAGGUAGGACUACCCGCUGAACUUAAGCAUAUCAAUAAGCGGAGGA
rnacentral:misc_RNA from 1 species